GAACAACAAUCAAGAAGUGGUUGUAACUAACUCUCAACUAUUUGAGAGGAAGAAGAUGAAACCAAACAAUAACUUGCGCCAACCAAUUGUCACCAAAACAAUAUUGCCGCCUACCUCUUUAAAAGCUCCGACAAAGGGGCACCAAGAGAGAGAGAGGGCAUGGGCUAGAGAGAGAAAGGAGAGGGGAGGUGAUGGGCACAGUAAAGAUGGCAGCA
rnacentral:lncRNA from 1 species